GUGAGAGGGCGUGCUGCUAGAGGACUGUGGAGUACAAACAUCAGGAGGAAGGUCGUGUGGAUUCCCUGCCUACCUACCUUCUCUCUGGCUGUUUAGAACCUAAUUAUGCCCUGAUUGUACAGUUUCUCAUCUCAAUUCACUUUUAUUGUUGGGAAUCAAUGAAGAAACCAGAAGAUGAGCAAACAAAGACCAAAUCCAGGAUGAGAAACACCUUAGCUUGCGAUUCAAUAGACUUUACACACUUUGUUCUGGAUCAUGGUGUAGUG